rnacentral:lncRNA from 1 species
UGGAAAAAGCUCUUUGGAGGCAAUGGAGGGAGCGUUGGAAGAGGUGGACAUGGUGGUUUCUUGAAUGGAGGAAGAAUAACUGGUGGUUUGUAUAUUGGAACAACGGGUGGCUUUGGAAUUACUACUGGAGGCUUAUAUAUUGGAACAGGUGGUAGAACUGGGUGCUCAAUCUUUGGUGGACAUGGUUUCUUGAUCGGGACUGGUGGUGGAAGUGCCUUUGGAACCGGUGGAGGUUUGUAUACUGGAACAGGUGGUAAAACUGGAUGUUCAACCUUUGGUGGUGGACAUGGUUUCUUGACCGGAACCGGUGGUGGUUGUGGCUUUGGAACUGGAGGAGGUUUGUAUACUGGAGCAGGUGGUAGAACUGGAUGUUCAACCUUUGGUGGUGGACAUGGUUUCUUGACUGGAACAGGAGGAGGAAGAGGUUUAUGAUAUACAGGCGUAGGUGGAGGGAGAGGUUUAUGAUAAACAGGCACAGGUGGAGGAAGAGGUUUCUCAUACACAGGUGUAGGUGGAGGGAGAGGUUUAUGGUAAACAGGCACAGGCGGAGGAAGAGGUUUCUCGUAGACAGGUGUAGGUGGAGGAAGAGGUUUCUCAUAAACAGGUGUAGGAGGAGGGAUAGGUUUUUCAUAGAUAGGCACAGGUGGAGGACAAGGUUUCUUGUAGAUAGGAAUAUGAGGAAAGGGAGGUUUGUAAAUAGGAAUAUGAGAAAAUGGAGGUUUCUUGUAGAUAGGAACAGGAGGAAAAAGAGGGUGUUUAUGGAAAAUCUUUGGUGGAAAUGUUGGAAAAACUUUAGGGGGAAAUUGAGGUAAAUCAGGAUGAGGAAGCUUAGGAAAAAGAGGAUGUUUGAAGAGAGGCCAAAAGAAUUUGGAG